rnacentral:miRNA from 1 species
GCAGACACAUUCCAGCCAAUCAGCAGCAGACCCUCCCUCCCACACCCUCCCACCUCCUGGACAGCUCAUUAAGAAUGCAGCUUCACAAUGAAUGUAAAAUGGAUGCUGUCCAGGAGGUGGGAGGGUCUGGGAGGGAGGGUCUGCUGCUGAUUGGCUGGAAUGUGUCUG